UGCGAGUCUUUGUAGUAAUACAAGGCAGACGGCUCAGUAACACGUAGUCAACCUACCCUAUGGACAAGAAUAAUCUCGGGAAACUGGGCAUAAUUCUUGAUAGAUCAUAAUGCCUGGAAUGGUUUAUGGUUAAAAUGAUUCGUCGCCAUAGGAUGGGACUGCGGCCUAUCAGCUUGUUGGUGAGGUAAUGGCCCACCAAGGCGAUUACAGGUACGGGCUCUGAGAGGAGAAGCCCGGAGAUGGGUACUGAGACACGGACCCAGGCCCUAUGGGGCGCAGCAGGCGAGAAAACUUUGCAAUGUGCGAAAGCACGACAAGGUUAAUCCGAGUGAUUUCUGCUAAAGAGAUCUUUUGCCAGUCAUAAAACCACUGGUGAAUAAGGGGUGGGCAAGUUCUGGUGUCAGCCGCCGCGGUAAAACCAGCACCUCAAGUGGUCAGGAUGAUUAUUGGGCCUAAAGCAUCCGUAGCCGGCUCUGUAAGUUUUCGGUUAAAUCCAUACGCUCAACGUAUGGGCUGCCGAAAAUACUGCAGAGAUAGGGAGUGGGAGAGGUAGACGGUACUCGGUAGGAAGGGGUAAAAUCCUUUGAUCUAUCGAUGACCACCUGUGGCGAAGGCGGUCUACCACAACACGUUCGACGGUGAGGGAUGAAAGCUGGGGGAGCAACCCGGAUUACAUACCCGGGUAG
rnacentral:rRNA from 1 species